rnacentral:lncRNA from 1 species
CAUAGGUGGACCGAACUCCAGUAUAUUAUGGUGGACCAAACUCUAUUGCAGCAAAAUAGUGACUAUUUUUCAUUGACUUUGUAAAUGCUGACUAUUUUUGAAUAACCAGUUCGAAAACUAGCUAUACUGUGCUAUUUUUACGAAAUUACACGUCUUAUGAAAAUUCUCAUAACUUUUAUUUGAACCAUUGGGCCCAAGAGUACUCCUCCUGAAUGACCCAACAAUCACUCUACUAAGAAAGUGUCUCCAGCCCAAUGGCCUUUUAAGCGGAGAAGACUCACUAAUCCAACUAUAGGCUGCUAUCUCCUGAAAUUCAGCAGAAUACUUUUACGGUAAUCCACUCCACUGCAUUUGAAUGACGGUAAAAACUUAUUCGUACCGGGUAUUUAUAUCAAAAUAAUAGUUACAAAGCAUGUGUCUUGCAUAUGAACUUUAAUCAUUUAACCAUGAUAAAUUAUGUGUAUUCUCAUCUGAUUAAAU